UACAGAGACCCCGAGCGUUAUCCGGAUUUAUUGGGCGUAAAGCGCAUGUAGGCGGAUAUACUAGUCAGAUGUCAAAUCUCCGAGCCCAACUCGGAAACUGCAUUUGAAACGGUAUAUCUGGAGAAAGUGAGAGAUCAAUGGAAUUCAUGGUGUAGUAGUGAAAUGCGUUGAUAUCAUGAGGAACACCAAAGGCGAAGGCAUUUGAUUGGCACUUUUCUGACGCUGAGAUGCGAAAGCGUGGGGAGCGAAGGGGAUUAGAUACCCCCGUAGUCCACGCCGUAAACGAUACAUAUUAGAUGUUGGGAGUAUCGACCCUCCCAGUGUCGUAGCUAACGCGUUAAAUAUGCCGCCUGGGAAGUACGAGCGCAAGCUUAAAACUCAAAGGAAUAGACGGGGAUCCGCACAAGUGGUGGAGCAUGUGGUUUAAUUCGAUGAUAAGCGAGGCACCUCACCAGGGCUUGAAACUUAGCUGUGGCUUUCAGAGAUGAAAGUGUCUUCGAGAACGCUAAGCAGGCGCUGCAUGGUCGUCGUCAGCUCGUGCCGUAAGGUGUUCCCUUAAGUGGGGUAACGAGCGCAACCCCUGUCGUGUGUUAUAUAUGUCACACGAGACUGCCCAGACUAAAGCGCACUUCGUGCUUUAAUUUUAAUUUAUAAAUUUAAAAUUUUAAUUCAAUGAAUUAAUUUUCAAUGAUUUAAUUUUAAAACAAUUUUCAAUUAAAAAAACAAGAUACAAGUUACAAACAAAUCUCAAAUUACAAUAACCAAAUAAUCAAAAGUUUGAAAUUUGGUUAUUGGAAAUUAUUUGUUUCUUGGAAAUUGUUUCUUAAAAAAAUUAUUAAAUUGAAAAUUGAAACAUUUAAAAAUUGAAUUACAAAUUACAAAUUAAAAUUGGAGCGAAGCGAGUUUUAGUCUGGGAGGAAGGAGGGGAUGACGUCAGAUCAGCAUGGCCCUUUGACGCCCUGGGCGACACACGUGCUACAAUGGCCAAUACAGAGGGUUGCGAAACCGCGAGGUGGAGCCAAUCCCAAAAAGUUGGUCCCAGUUCGGAUUGGAGUCUGCAACUCGACUCCAUGAAGCCGGAAUCACUAGUAAUCGGGAAUCAGCCAUGUCCCGGUGAAUACGUUCCCGGAUC
rnacentral:rRNA from 1 species